rnacentral:rRNA from 1 species
UGGUGGCGAUGCGCUUAGGGGACACACCCGUUCCCAUCCCGAACACGAUGGUUAAGACCUAAGCGGCCGAUGGUACUUUACUGGAGACGGUACGGGAGAGUAGGUGGCUGCCAGAGCA